rnacentral:rRNA from 1 species
AGUGAACGCUGGCGGCAGGCCUAACACAUGCAAGUCGAACGGCAGCACAAGAGAGCUUGCUCUCUGGGUGGCGAGUGGCGGACGGGUGAGGAAUGCAUCGGAAUCUGCCCAUUUGUGGGGGAUAACCUCGGGAAACCGGGACUAAUACCGCAUACGACCUACGGGUGAAAGCAGGGGAUCUUCGGACCUUGCGCAGAUGGAUGAGCCGAUGCCGGAUUAGCUAGUUGGAGGGGUAAAGGCCCACCAAGGCGACGAUCCGUAGCUGGUCUGAGAGGAUGAUCAGCCACACUGGGACUGAGACACGGCCCAGACUCCUACGGGAGGCAGCAGUGGGGAAUAUUGGACAAUGGGCGCAAGCCUGAUCCAGCCAUGCCGCGUGUGUGAGGAAGGCCUUCGGGUUGUAAAGCACUUUUGUUGGGAAAGAAAAGCAGCCGGUUAAUACCCGGUUGUCAUGACGGUACCCAAAGAAUAAGCACCGGCUAACUUCGUG